GUGGUGGAGAGGCUGUC
rnacentral:miRNA from 1 species